ACAAACUUGGUCAUUUAGAGGAAGUAAAAGUCGUAACAAGGUCUCCGUAGGUGAACCUGCGGAGGGAUCAUUACGAAAAACGAGUUGCGAGACUCGGAAACCAUCGCGAACAUUACCUCGUCGUUGCCUCGGCGGGCGAGCCUUCCCCCAGGGGGGGGGCCACCCCGCCGGAGGUACGCCCGAACUCUUUAUUUCUCAGCGCUUCUCAGUGGAUACAGCGAAAAUUAAGUCAAAACUUUCAACAACGGAUCUCUUGGUUCUGGCAUCGAUGAAGAACGCAGC
rnacentral:misc_RNA from 1 species